rnacentral:tRNA from 1 species
GGGGUUGUGGCUCAGCGGUAGAGCUUUGGCAUCAAUGGAUGCUAAAACUAGCAAGGGGAACUUUAAAGACUUAGACGUUUGCCUUGCACUUGCAAGGCCCAGGUUCAAUUCUUGGCACCACA